UACGGAGGGUGCGAGCGUUGUCCGGAAUCACUGGGCGUAAAGGGCGCGUAGGCGGCGCGGAUAGUCGGCGGUGAAAGCCCGGAGCUCAACUCCGGGUCGGCCGUCGAUACUUCCGGGCUUGAGCACUGUAGAGGCAGAUGGAAUUCCGGGUGUAGCGGUGGAAUGCGUAGAGAUCCGGAAGAACAACGGUGGCGAAGGCGGUCUGCUGGGCAGUUGCUGACGCUGAUGCGCGACAGCGUGGGGAGCAAACAGG
rnacentral:rRNA from 1 species